UUCAUCAUCACAGUUGGUGUUUUAUCAGCAGCACUAUUCUGUGCUCUUCUGUUUGCUAUCAGAGCUCGGGGGACUGGCUGCCAUACUCCUAAAAAGAGUCAGAGCACAGGUGACACCAGCCCAGCUGUGAUGAGUCAAGGCCUGACAACUGAAAAUGGAAAUAAGGUGUCCUGCACAUCAGAAGAGGAUAUUUAUGUCAACACCGAUAUGAUGAAAAAGUCAGAUAUGCCAAACGCUCAUCUAGCAC